AGGAAGGAAUACCUAGAGACCCGACUCGUACCCCCCUUGCCUAAAACACCCGCAAAUUUCAUUUAAGGUGAAUAGAAGAGAACUCUCUUAUUUUACUCUUUUUUUCUUAUCCAUGAAUACGUGUGAGUGGUGGAUUCAGAAAAAAGAUGGCGGUUGUAGCUCAAAAAAAAAUUUAAAGUGACAGCUGACAGCUCUCAAUUUCUGAUAAUUAUUUUGUUUUGGUUGCGAAAUAAAAGUUUUUUCCAAGUUUUUCCGCGACAAUUUCUUUUAUAAAUAAAGGUGCAAAAGAUAGUUAAGAAUAAUGUUAAUUAAUAAAUAAUCGUCCAAUUCUGAAUUAAAACUCUCGGAGAAAUGUGUUGCGUAAAACGGCUUUAUAUUAAAAUUUCGUGAAUAUAGUUUCCUCUCCUUUUUAAUUUUGUGUAAACUAAAAUAAAUACAUUUGUGCGCUUGGAGAAGCAAGACCUCCUAUUUACCGCCGAGUCCUUUCAUGACAAUGAUACUCUUGCCAAUUCCUUCGUCUAAAUACAAAUCAGCUAUUUAACGAAUGGUGGGGGAAGCGGCGGUGGAUCCCAGCAUCUGCAACAGCAGCAACAGCCACCACCACGGCUUCAUCCGAAAAAAAACUAAAAUUUGACCCAGCUGAGCUGGAGAGAAUGAACCAUCCAAAAGUACAGCAACUGCUAAUAUCGGACCAACAUGGAAAGUCCCGAUAAGAAAAUAAUCAUAGCGAGUCCUCAAAAUACUUACAAAUUCCAAAACCUACAAACCAUAACAAAAACGCAACAACAAUACAACAUUUCUUAUCAACAGCAACAAUACUUCAUCUGUUGGAUUACCUGAUUUAAAUGAAUGGACCAAUACAAGGCUGUGUCUUCAUCGAAGGGUCUGCCACUGAAAUCAAUUUGAACACCAAGCACUUUUCAGUACAAAUCGGGGAUUCAAACUCUGCACAAAUAUAAUAAAAACAGUCAAAUUAGUGGCUAUGCUAUGGACGGCGAAGUAGAGAAACUAUCAGGUGGCAGUAAAAGAAGCAGCAAUGCAAAGUCGAGGCAGCACUCAUAGUCUGCUCGAUCAGAGGGUCACCCCACGAUCUCAUCCAGCAACUCCAAGAUCUCAAGCGACAACACCCCAUCGUUUUAAGAAGGGCGAUGUCGUUCAAUCGGAAUCUGGUGUACGUUAGAAAUUCAAUGGAAUAAAAUGGCACCGAUUGUGUUCAAAUCAAUCGUGUUUGAAAGAAUCUCAACGAAGAGGUUAUUGUUCAAGGCAUUUGAACCAAAAAAAAUUUAAAUUCAUUUCAUGGACCCCUUUUACAUCAUUCUUUAUAAGUACCUAUUCUGAUGAAACAAAAAAUUAACUCAGUUUUUUGAUGUAAAAUGCUUUGCUUCAGAGAAACAACUAUAUAAAUUAUAUAAUGUUAGAGGAAAAAUAAUGUGUUAAACAAAAAGCACGAGGAUCUAACGUGCAGUUUCCGAAGGACGACCCGCUUCAUGAACACUAUUUUUUAUUGGUUUGUCUAGAAACAAGAAGACGAUGGAAG